rnacentral:misc_RNA from 1 species
AAGGAUCUCAGCUUGUUAAGGUGGACUCGGCUAAGAGGAUAACUUUGUUGAAGAACCUUUCAAGUCUUGAGGGUAUUUUAUCUCUCUCCAAUUCUUUGUUGAAGGGAAGUACUACUGUGGUUUCUGAGUUAGGAACUGCAGAUGCUGAUGUCUUAAAGGAUCUUGGGAGAGCAUAUAAGGAAGUACUUUGGCAAAUUUCCUUGUGUUGUGAUUCUAAGGUGGAUG